AUUGAACGCUGGCGGCAGGCCUAACACAUGCAAGUCGAGCGGAUGAAGGGAGCUUGCUCCUGGAUUCAGCGGCGGACGGGUGAGUAAUGCCUAGGAAUCUGCCUGGUAGUGGGGGAUAACGUCCGGAAACGGGCGCUAAUACCGCAUACGUCCUGAGGGAGAAAGUGGGGGAUCUUCGGACCUCACGCUAUCAGAUGAGCCUAGGUCGGAUUAGCUAGUUGGUGGGGUAAAGGCCUACCAAGGCGACGAUCCGUAACUGGUCUGAGAGGAUGAUCAGUCACACUGGAACUGAGACACGGUCCAGACUCCUACGGGAGGCAGCAGUGGGGAAUAUUGGACGAUGGGCGAAAGAAUGAUCCAGCCAUGCCGCGUGUGUGAAGAAGGUCUUCGGAUUGUAAAGCACUUUAAGUUGGGAGGAAGGGCAGUAAGUUAAUACCUUGCUGUUUUGACGUUACCAACAGAAUAAGCACCGGCUAACUUCGUG
rnacentral:rRNA from 1 species